rnacentral:lncRNA from 1 species
AAACCCGACCAGUACUCCAAGACGCGCAAGCAAGCGCCAAGCGGGGAACUCCGCGGGAAACCGGACCGGAACUCAAGUGUGCAGAGCUCUGCUUCGCUAGGAAUUCUUCUUCUCCAAAUGACUUGCCUUUAAUGAGUGGGGGGUGCCCUCUAUUUAUAGGGGUUCUUAUGGGGUCAAUCUGGUCAUUUGGGCAGUAACCGCCUAACUGCCUAACUGAUCAGAUUAGGUCCAGGGGUCGACUUUCCAGAGAUCGACUUUCUGGGGAUCGACUUUUCCU